rnacentral:rRNA from 1 species
AACGAACGCUGGCGGCAUGCCUAACACAUGCAAGUCGAACGAGACCUUCGGGUCUAGUGGCGCACGGGUGCGUAACGCGUGGGAACCUGCCCUUAGGUUCGGAAUAACUCCCCGAAAGGGGUGCUAAUACCGGAUAAUGUCUUCGGACCAAAGAUUUAUCGCCUUUGGAUGGGCCCGCGUUGGAUUAGCUAGUUGGUAGGGUAAAAGCCUACCAAGGCGACGAUCCAUAGCUGGUCUGAGAGGAUGAUCAGCCACACUGGGACUGAGACACGGCCCAGACUCCUACGGGAGGCAGCAGUGGGAAUAUUGGACAAUGGGCGAAAGCCUGAUCCAGCAAUGCCGCGUGAGUGAUGAAGGCCUUAGGGUUGUAAAGCUCUUUUACCCGGGAUGAUAAUGACAGUACCGGGAGAAUAAGCGCCGGCUAACUCCGUG